rnacentral:misc_RNA from 1 species
GAUGAAGAACGCAGCGAAAUGCGAUAAGUAAUGUGAAUUGCAGAAUUCAGUGAAUCAUCGAAUCUUUGAACGCACAUUGCGCCCCUUGGUAUUCCGAGGGGCAUGCCUGUUCGAGCGUCAUUAUAACCCCUCAAGCUCAGCUUGGUGUUGGGGCCUGCUGCACUGGCAGCCCUUAAAAUCAGUGGCGGCGCCGUCUGGCUCUAAGCGUAGUAAUUCUUCUCGCUAUGGAGUCCUGGUGGAUGCUUGCCAUCCACCCCCAAUUUUUCUAUGGUUGACCUCGGAUCAGGUAGGGAUACCCGCUGAACUUAAGCAUAUCAAUAAGCGGAGGA